GGAGUUAGCCGGUGCUUCUUCUGCGAGUAACGUCACAGAUGUAAGGUAUUAACUUACACCCUUUCCUCCUCGCUGAAAGUGCUUUACAACCCGAAGGCCUUCUUCACACACGCGGCAUGGCUGCAUCAGGGUUUCCCCCAUUGUGCAAUAUUCCCCACUGCUGCCUCCCGUAGGAGUCUGGGCCGUGUCUCAGUCCCAGUGUGGCUGAUCAUCCUCUCAGACCAGCUAGGGAUCGUCGCCUAGGUGAGCCUUUUACCUCACCUACUAGCUAAUCCCACCUGGGCUUAUCCAUCAGCGCAAGGCCCGAAGGUCCCCUGCUUUCCCCCGUAGGGCGUAUGCGGUAUUAGCAGUCGUUUCCAACUGUUAUCCCCCACAAAUGGGCAAAUUCCCAGGCAUUACUCACCCGUCCGCCGCUCGUCAUCUUCAAAAGCAAGCUUUUGAAACUGUUACCGCUCGACUUGCAUGUGUUAGGCCUGCCGCCAGCGUUCAAUCUGAACCAAGAUCAAAUCUGA
rnacentral:rRNA from 1 species